UGUGUAACACCCCUGAUUUUUUUAAAUAUUAUUAUUGGGCUUCGUGUAGGUAUCCUCAAUUCACGGAAAUUCGACAGUUGUCCGGAUCUGUGAAUUUCCGGCCAGACAGACCAGCUAUCGGAAAAGUCUCCGAAUUGGAUCGAGGUUUUGGCUACCCCACCAUUGUCAUGCAUCCCGAGCGCGUUCCCGAAGUCGGAAUCGGCAAAGGCUACAGGAGGAUUUUAUUUUGGUUAACCUGCUUUUCUCCUUCGCAGGUUGAUUAUCGAUAUUUGUGUAAUUUUAUUUACUCCUAGAAUUUCCGCAUGUGUUAGAAGUAUUUAUUUGAUUAUGGUCUGUAAUAUUAUUAUCAUGUUGGACCUGUAAACGUAUAAUGAUAUGCAUGUUUGAUGGAUUGGAUGAGGAA